rnacentral:lncRNA from 1 species
CAAGCUUCAGCUUUCUUGAUGUUGGUGACCCAUGGGCCAGAAUCUUAUCCCAGGCCUAGGGUAGCGAGAGAAAUAGUGGUUCAUGGGCCUCGAUACCUCUGAUCCAUCAAGAAACCAUACCCAACUCAAUGGGCUGAAAUUCAAACACAAGGAUUUAUUGUUUUAUUUAUGACUAAUGAUAAAUAUUCCAAAUUUUUAUUUAUGGUACAUGAUCGAAUUUAACAAAAUGACGAUGAGACAUUGUCAUUGAAAUGAUGUGGUGACUUGCACAGUGCAUAUGAAUUCAAUCUUCUGAUUUGGGUUCCAGGAGACCGAAAUGAGCCAUCAAUACCCAAACAAAAGUAAAAAGCUCCCCGCCAUUACUAACUUGUUCGACAUGUGUCCUUGUUG